AGCGAACGCUGGCGGCAGGCCUAACACAUGCAAGUCGAGCGGGCACCUUCGGGUGUCAGCGGCAGACGGGUGAGUAACACGUGGGAACGUGCCCUUUGGUUCGGGACAACUCCGGGAAACUGGAGCUAAUACCGGAUAAGCCCUUCGGGGGAAAGAUUUAUCGCCAAAGGAUCGGCCCGCGUCUGAUUAGCUAGUUGGUGAGGUAACGGCUCACCAAGGCGACGAUCAGUAGCUGGUCUGAGAGGAUGAUCAGCCACACUGGGACUGAGACACGGCCCAGACUCCUGCGGGGGGCAGCAGUGGGGAAUAUUGGACAAUGGGCGCAAGCCUGAUCCAGCCAUGCCGCGUGAGUGAUGAAGGCCCUAGGGUUGUAAAGCUCUUUUGGCGGGGAAGAUAAUGACGGUACCCGCAGAAUAAGCCCCGGCUAACUUCGUGCCAGCAGCCGCCGUAAUAC
rnacentral:rRNA from 1 species